rnacentral:rRNA from 1 species
GUCCACGCCGUAAACGAUGGGGACUAGGUGCUUGGGGGAGCGACCCCCCGAGUGCCGGCGCUAACGCAUUAAGUCCCCCGCCUGGGGAGUACGGCCGCAAGGCUGAAACUCAAAGGAAUUGACGGGGGCCCGCACAAGCGGUGGAGCAUGUGGUUUAAUUCGACGCAACGCGAAGAACCUUACCCAGGCUUGACAUGUACGAGUAAGCCUCUGGAAACAGGGGCCCCUCUUCGGAGCUCGUGCACAGGUGCUGCAUGGCUGUCGU